GUGAACGAGCGACGCCGCGUGCGGGAUGAAGGCCUUCGGGUUGUAAACUCCUGUCGAGGGGGAGGAAGGCGCAAGCUUGACCUAUCCCUGGAGGAAGCACGGGCUAAGUUCGUGCCAGCAGCCGCGGUAAGACGAACCGUGCGAACGUUAUUCGGAAUCACUGGGCUUAAAGCGCGUGUAGGCGGAUGGGGACGUCGGUUGUUGAAAGCCCCCGGCUCAACCGGGGAACUGGCGCCGAAACGCCCUGUCUUGAGGAGCGUAGGGGGACCUGGAACUUCCGGUGGAGCGGUGAAAUGCGUUGAGAUCGGAAGGAACGCCCGUGGCGAAAGCGAGGUCCUGGACGUUAUCUGACGCUGAGACGCGAAAGCUAGGGGAGCGAACGGGAUUAGAUACCCCGGUAGUCCUAGCUGUAAACGAU
rnacentral:rRNA from 1 species